GAUGAACGCUGGCGGCGUGCCUAAUACAUGCAAGUCGAGCGAACAGACGAGGAGCUUGCUCCUCUGACGUUAGCGGCGGACGGGUGAGUAACACGUGGAUAACCUACCUAUAAGACUGGGAUAACUUCGGGAAACCGGAGCUAAUACCGGAUAAUAUAUUGAACCGCAUGGUUCAAUAGUGAAAGACGGUUUUGCUGUCACUUAUAGAUGGAUCCGCGCCGCAUUAGCUAGUUGGUACGGUAACGGCUUACCAAGGCAACGAUGCGUAGCCGACCUGAGAGGGUGAUCGGCGACACUGGAACUGAGACACGGUCCAGACUCCUACGGGAGGCAGCAGUAGGGAAUCUUCCGCAAUGGGCGGAAGCCUGACGGAGCAACGCCGCGUGAGUGAUGAAGGUCUUCGGAUCGUAAAACUCUGUUAUUAGUGAAGAACAAAUGUGUAAGUAACUAUGCACGUCUUGACGGUACCUAAUCAGAAAGCCACGGCUAACUACGUG
rnacentral:rRNA from 1 species